ACCCGCUGAAUUUAAGCAUAUAAGUAGGCGGUGAAUAAGAAUCUCAUGAGGACCCCUUUAGCAAUGGCGAGUGCAUCAGGGCAGGCUCAGUUUGGAAAUCGGAGCAUAUAGCCAUGAAUUGUAGGGUCGCGAUGUGCUACCAGUUGAGAUGCAGUAAUACGCCCCUGGAAAAGAGCAUAGAUAAGGGUGACAAUCCUAUGUGUCAUCUGCAGCUUUCAGUGCACGGUGUAUCUUCUAAGAGUCGCGUACCUUGGGAAUAGUGCGUGAAACAGGUGGUACAAUUCAUGCAAAGCAGUAUCUGUGUUUGAGACCAACAGCAAACAAGUACCAUGAGGGAAAGGUGAAACAGAACUCUGUAAAGAGAGGUAACAGUGUCUGAACCUGCUGGAAGGGAUAUGGAGGGCACCAGUGUAGCCUGGCGAGAUUGCUGUGUGCAUGUGUGAAUGCCUGCUGCAUCUAGCAAUGAUGCAUUAGGUCAGAUGCAAAAUGCUUACAGUGUCUCUACCCUACCAGCCAUUGCCAGCUCAUUGCAUUCUGACACCACCGGGAAAUAUGGCAGCCUGCCUCGGUGCUGGUGAACACUUCUUCCCAGCUUGUGCAUGCCCUGCUCGGUACAAUGCGUGGGCCCGUUCAUCCCGUCUUGAAACACGGACCAAGGAGUCUAGCAUGCCUGCGAGCUCAGGGGUGGCAACCAUCUAUGUUUGCGCAACGAAAAUAUUGGCUGGUAUAUGUGCACCGGCAACAAACUUCUCGCUGAUGGGAAGUCUGAGUGUGAGCACACCUGCUAGGACCCGAAAGAUGGUGAGCUAUGCCUGUGGAAGGCAAACCCAGGGGAAACUCUGAUGGAAGCCUGUAGCGGUACUGACGUGCAAAUCGUUCGUUGAAAAUGGGUAUGGGGGCGAAAGACUAAUCGAACCAUCUAGUAGCUGGUUCCCUCCGA
rnacentral:rRNA from 1 species